rnacentral:lncRNA from 1 species
UUGUCAACAGAUAUUAUUAAAGGCUUAAAGCCCAAACAAGGUAAACCGAAGGUCCAUUACAACCCAAUUCAUAAACUGAUUUCAACAAAAGAUGAUAACUACAAUAUUAAAGAAAAACGUGGAAACACGUGUUCUCACAGGCGGUCUAUCUUCCAAUCAUCUCUCCGGUAAACUUCUCGGAUGAGACGCAUAAGCUUUACCGCUUCCUUCGAAUCUACCUUGAACUCUUCAUACAAAGCUCGCCGGUUCUUGUAGUUUGAUCUCCGAGUGGUCACUGAUCCUUAAUUCCUGGGAAAACUGAUGGAUCUAAAGACAGAUCAUCUGUCAGGACGUUUCAAAGAAACCCUGACUUUACUUAAUCUGCUUCAAAAUCAACCAGACAAAUCCAACACCUUCGAUUCUUCAACCAAAAGGGAGCAUCUUCCUAUCUUUCUCUUUAGGAAGAAACGAUUACGCCCCCUCGGAUGAGAUCUGGCACUCGGCUAGUACCAGAAGCCAAACACAAGUUCCGGGAUUUAUGGUUAGAUCUUGCAUGAAGGGAAAGUGUCCAAGCAAAUCAGAGAAAGAAAUAGAUUCGUGAACAGUUCUGAUUUGGUUGAACAAAAACACACCAAAAGAUCGCCUAGCGAAAGUGAAAAUCCGCAACCGGAACAGAAGUUCGAUCAACAGAUCGAAUAUUUACAUACAAAAAACAAAAAGAUAAAAUAUGGUAACCGGCAGCGAGAGCCACCGGCUACCGAUCGACGAUGGUGAUUGAAGUUUUCUAGUGAGAAGUUGGAGAGAGUAGAAAGAGAAAAA